UUCCCCUAGGGUACUUAUGGAAUCAGUUGAAUUUUGUCCGGCCCUGCCAGCUUAAAUAUAACUUAUCUAAAUAUUCUUUAACCUGUUCUUUCCCUAUUUUGCCUUGUGUUCUUUCUCCUGGUUGUUGUUGUUAUUUGUGUUAAGCAUCUGGUCACAGUUAGCCUUUUUAGUGAAGACAGAAACAAACAUUAAACAUGCCUGCCUUCUUUUUGUUGUAUGUGUUACUAGCCCUCCUUCUCUAAGUAGUAGACCAAUGCUUUCCUUUGUCUUUUGCUUCUAAUGUAUUUAUAGAACGUCGUCUUUUUGCCUUUUAUGUCCUGGAUAGGUGUAUCUCAUUUUGUGCCUUAGCCUUUCUAACUUUGUCUCUACAUGCUUGCACUACUCUUUUGUACUCAUCUUUAGCUAUUUGUCCAUGUUUCCACUUCUUGUAUGAUUCCUUUUUGAUUUCCAUGUCAUUAAAGAACUCCUGGUGCAGCCACAUUGGGUUCUUGCUAUCUUCCUAUCUUUCCUUUGCAUCAGGAUAGUGAAGAUUCUGGGCCAUAGAGGUUUGUACAGCAUCAGUUUUGCUUUCAGUUUUCUGUCAUGUUGUUUAGGUCUCUAUUAAUCAAAAAGUCACUGCUGCAGGCAAAAAUCUCUGGUCCACACUCAGGAUUCCGAGUCAGUGCUUGGAGGAGACAGUGUGAAAGCAUCUCUCUAUAAGUGCCAAACUAACUGAAAUGAGGAUGAGCAAAGGGGUAGUCUGAUAUCAGUGCCUCUAAUGAAUAUUUGUUGGAGUUGAUGUUUCUAGUCACCAAGUGAUUAUCUUUGGAGCUCUUAUUUUUGCAGAUAUCUCAAGAUUCAGGAGUUUCUCAUCCAGAAUGGAACCUUCUUCAGGAGACUGCAUCAUAUGAAUUGAACUUGCAGUGAGCAGUUAUUUAUAAGCUGAUCAGUGACAGCAAAUUGGAGAGGUCAAAGGCUCUGAAAGAUGGGAGAGCAUCCACCGGCGAUAAAUGUAUGUUCAUUGCAGCCGACACCCAGUCCCGCACGGUUGAAUGCCAAGUUAUGCCUUAGCUGCCAGUUAUAAAUCACCAGCAUCCAGAUGUGGAUAGGAGCUCAUCCUCCUGGAAACAGCAGCUUAGUCAGAGUCCUUAUCAAAGCAGCGAUGUUCUAUUCUCACAGGAAGGUCCAGGCAGGAUGGGUUAAGCUCAGACCGAGAGCCCCAAGUCUGAAUUUCGCUGUGUGUAGCAGUUGAGUAAGAAUGUUAAUAGUUUUUAAUCAUGAGAGGCUGUGUGGUUCAAUGCUUGGUGCAGGGGAUUGUGAGUCAGGGCCCUGGCUCCUAUUCCCAUCUCUACCUUUCUGGAUGGCCUUGGGCAAGUUACUCUGUCUCUCUCGCACUCUCUGCUUCAGUAUGCUCUGGUUUAAAGUGGAUCUAAGAAUCCUUGCCUCGUUUACAGGAGUGCUGUGCUAUUGUAGGAACAUAAAAAGUGCCACACCAGACCAGAACAGUGGUCCAGCAUUUCCUCUCCAUGCAGAAGAUGCAAAAACCUUUGCAAAUAAGCAGUUAUGGAACAAUGUAGCCAUAGAGUCUCUUUGUAAUGUUCGCCAGUUAGUGGUUGGCUUAUACCCUGAAACAUGAGGUUUGUAUCCUUGCCAAACUUUUGUUUGAUUGUGUUUUCUUAUUAAUCCUUCCUUAGAUAGUCUCAUUAUCCACAAAGGCAGGGAUUUUCAAAUGAGUCUAAACACGCACAUCCUAUUUAAUUUCAGUGAGAUUGAGUUUCUAAUUCCUUUAAAUGCCUCUGAAAAGUCCAUCCAUAAAUACUGAUCCUUUUUGAAUAUUUGGGCUCAGGGACAUCAUGGGGCAAUAAGUUCAAAGGCUAAUUGUGCAUGGAGAGGGGAAAAGCAUUUCUUUUUAUAAGUUAUAAAUGUACUGCCUUUUAUUUUCAAAAGCAUUUUAAGAUUUGGGGUUGAAAAAUGGCUGCACAAAUACUAAAAUGUUAGAAAUGCAAAAUCAUAAUAUAUUGCAUAAUGGUUCUGUAGAAUGGAAGCCAUGAAUGCAAUACAGUACAAUUAACAGAAAGGGCAUAGCCUAGUGUUCUGAUGAUAGAAGAGAGAGGGAGGCAGGAAUCCCUGUGUUCUAAUUCCCUAGUUCUGAUACUAGUUCCCUCUUUAGCUGUGGAUACGCCACUUUUCUGACUCAUUUCCAAUCACUGCAAAAUGUGGACAAUGUUUAUUCCUACAUAAAGGUGUCAUGAGGAUUGGUUAUUUAUUUUGCAAAGCAUUUAGAAGGUAAGUACUAAGUAUUAAUUAUUAUUAUUAUUAUUAUUAUGGAAACCUUCCAAAAUAACACAUCUACCAAUCACAGAAAUAGGAAAACAUCUGAAAGCUUUCACAAUUCAAAACCACUGUGAACCUCAUUAAAGAAAGAAGCUUCCUUUUAAUGGAAAAGAUGAGGGGUCAAGGAGUCCAUUGAAAUAGAAGAAAAGGUCACCCACAAGUGAAAGAGCUUAAAGAAUGUUAGAAAGUAGGUGAAGCUAAUACAGCUAGAUAGAAAUAAAGUGAUCCUUAACUAUCCUGCAAGCCACCACCAUAUGCUGCCUUUUAAUAGAGAAGGAAACUCAGUGGUGAUUAAUGGUAAUGGACUUGGCACACUUUGGAGCUCAUUUAUAUUGCUGAUAAAAAUGCAACAUAGCACAAAAAGGGUACUGCAGCCCAGAACUUGUGACUUAACAUCUGCACCUCUUAGAUUCCAGAAUGUGGACAUCAGCAUAGAGUUGUGCAGGACAGCUGUUUCUGUACAUUAGAAAUAUUGCCCUCUCAUGCUGUGCUCCUUGAGGGAGAAGUGAGCAUCACCUUGUUUACCAGUAAGCUAAGUUUUACAGUAGUUUGACGUUUACAGAAAUCUGCAAUUUUAACAUCUUCUGUUGCAAGAUGGUGAAUUUAUAUACCUGAAGGCUUCUUCAAUCCAAAUGCUGGAAGCUGAAACUAGACAAAUUUCAGAGUGGAAAUAAGGUGUAGUAUUUUAACAGUGAAGGUGAUUAAGCAUUGGAACAAUUCACCAAGGGUUGUGGUGGAUUCU